GACGAACGCUGGCGGCGUGCUUAACACAUGCAAGUGGAGCGACGAACCGGGGCUUGCCCCGGGGCAGAGCCGCGAACGGGUGAGUAACACGUGGGUAACCUGCCUCAAUGAUUGGGACAACCCGGGGAAACUCGGGCUAAUACCAAAUGUGUUCACUCCUUCCAAAGGGGGAGUGAGGAAAAGGGAAGCUUCGGCCUCCGCAUUGAGAUGGGCCCGCGGCCCAUUAGCUUGUGGUGAGGUAACGGCUCACCAAGGCUUCGAUGGGUAGCUGGUCUGAGAGGACGAUCAGCCACACUGGGACUGAGACACGGCCCAGACUCCUACGGGAGGCAGCAGUGGGAAUCUUGCACAAUGCGCGAAAGCGUGAUGCAGCAACGCCGC
rnacentral:rRNA from 1 species